rnacentral:rRNA from 1 species
UCGGGUUGUAAAGCACUUUUGUCCGGAAAGAGAACUUCUGCCCUAAUACGGCGGGAGGAUGACGGUACCGGAAGAAUAAGCACCGGCAACUACGUGCCAGCAGCCGCGGUAAUACGUAGGGUGCGAGCGUUAAUCGGAAUUACUGGGCGUAAAGCGUGCGCAGGCGGUUCGUUAAGACAGAUGUGAAAUCCCCGGGCUUAACCUGGGAACUGCAUUUGUGACUGGCGAGCUAGAGUAUGGCAGAGGGGGGUAGAAUUCCACGUGUAGCAGUGAAAUGCGUAGAGAUGUGGAGGAAUACCGAUGGCGAAGGCAGCCCCCUGGGCCAAUACUGACGCUCAUGCACGAAAGCGUGGGGAGCAAACAGGAUUAGAUACCCUGGUAGUCCACGCCCUAAACGAUGUCAACUAGUUGUUGGGUCUUCAUUGACUUAGUAACGUAGCUAACGCGUGAAGUUGACCGCCUGGGGAGUACGGUCGCAAGAUUAAAACUCAAAGGAAUUGACGGGGACCCGCACAAGCGGUGGAUGAUGUGGAUUAAUUCGAUGCAACGCGAAAAACCUUACCUACCCUUGACAUGGUCGGAACCCUGCUG